GUUUCUCUCUGCUUCUCCGCUGCUUCACUCAUACCUUUGUAUACUUUUAUAUAUAAAUUAUUUAGCAGAGUGAGUGGGAGGGAGAACGGACGGGAGACAUCGUCGGAGGUGGGAAUCGUUUGUAUCAGCUUCUUUUAUCGUCAUCGGAAAGACUUUGUCAGAGGUAAUUGGAUACUGAAGCUUGAGAUGGCUGCUACUGCAACUGCAUCUUCUACUGGUCCACGUUAUGCACCAGAGGAUCCCACCCUUCCCAAACCUUGGAAAGGCCUAGUU
rnacentral:misc_RNA from 1 species